UACGUAGGGGGCAAGCGUUGUCCGGAUUUAUUGGGCGUAAAGAGCGUGUAGGCGGCUUGGCAAGUCCGCUGUGAAAACUCCGAGGCUUAACCUCGAGACGUCGGUGGAAACUGCCUGGCUAGAGUCCGGAAGAGGAGAGUGGAAUUCCUGGUGUAGCGGUGAAAUGCGCAGAUAUCAGGAAGAACACCCGUGGCUAAGGCGGCUCUCUAGUACGGUACUGACGCUGAGACGCGAAAGCGUGGGGAGCGAACAGG
rnacentral:rRNA from 1 species